ACACCUUUCAAAGGACUGUGGGACCCCAGGCGGCCAGCUGCUCCCUGGGGAAGAGGCAGAGGGGCCAGACGGGCCUGCAGAGCACCGGAGACAGACAGACGGGGAGCCGGCUGGGCCUCCACAGACACAGAGGGGGGCGGGGAUCAGGAAGGGAAGAUCUCUGCUGGAGAAUCAGCACCUGGGCGGCGAUCUGAUCGGGGCUGACGGUGCACAAGCUGGGCCCUCAGGCUCAGCCAGGCCAAUUCUCUCUCUCUUUUGUUUGCCAAACUGAAGGCUUCUGCCAUCCCUUGCACUUCUGUUCCGGCACAGCAGCAAAUCAGCCGGAGGAGACGGAACAGCAGGAAGAGCAGCUUUGAGGCAACCUCUGCCAACCCCUCCUCCUCUCCCUGCUGCCCAGACCAGCGACUGUCUCACAGAGGAAAGUUCCAGACUCUGUGUGAACAGAAAAACCUGGAGGUCAGGUGGUGGCACACCUGGUUAAGUGCACAUGAUACAGUGUGCAAGGACCCGGGUUCAAGUUCCCGGUCCCCACCUGCAGGUGGAAAACUUCACAAGUGGUGAAGCAGGGCUGGCUGCAGGUGUCUCUCUGUUUCUCUCCUUCUCUAUCACCCUCUUCCUUCCCAAUUUAUCUCUGUCUCUAUCCAAUAAAUAAAUAAAGAUGGUAAAUGAAAGAAAAGAAA